rnacentral:lncRNA from 10 species
CAACGCGAAAAAUAGGAGCUGCGUGCAUGACUGUGACUGCCCGGAGCCGCGAACGCAGCCUGGACCUUAUCCCUGAGGCAGGACGGCCCCUCGGACCCCCCGACCGAGAUUGGGCACUUCCUAGAAGGAUUCUUCUCUGUGAAAGGAUCUCCUGCUAAACCCUGUUCACUCUUGGGAUACUGCAGUGGAAUUUGCUGACUCCAUACCUAAGGGACAGUGCAGGUAGGUCCAUUGGUGCCCAUAGGGAUGUUUCCAAUUGUGUCUGUUUGGUUCCAUCUUGUUUUACGUGGAAGUUCUUUCAUGCUUUAUCCACACAAGGUGUCCAAUUCAUCCAGCCUCCAUUCAGGGAGCCUAUAAGGAUCCAAGUCUAUUGAAAGGUGGGUUGUCCAUAGGUGAUGAGUGUGUAAGGGGGUAAACUCCAGAACAGCUCAUCUUUGAAUCCUUUUUACUCUGUCUCUGGUUCUCAUGCUCUUUUUGGUUCUCUGUUCUCCUACUUCAAGGACUCCUGGGAUGUUUUCCAACACCAACAGCCAGUUCUCUGAUUCUCUGGCCACCAACUGGAUAUUCAACAAUUCAGUUCAAUUCUGAUACUACCUGGAGUUAGGGCAGAUUCCACAGCUGAAGGGCUCAAAACUGCCCCACCCACCAACUUCAGAUGCCAGUUGCAAGUCCCAGGACUCCCAUACUUCUGACCAAUGUAAACCAAAAAUAAAAUUCUUUUUUUUUUUUUUGAGACAGAGUCUCACUCUGUGCCCAGGCUGGAGUGCAGUGGCAUGAUUUUGGCUCACUGCAACCUCCACCUCCCAGGUUCAAGCAAUUCUCCUGCCUUAGCCUCCUGAGUAGCUGGGACUACAGGCAGCCACCACUCCCAGCUGCUGAUUUUUAUAUUUUUAGUACAGACGGGGUUUCACCAUGUUGACCAGGCUAGUCUCCAACUCUUGACCUCAGGUGAUCCACCCGCUUCAGCCUCCCAAAGUGCUGGGAUUAACAGGCAUAAGCCACUGCACCCAGCCGAGACCAAGGUUCUUCUUAUGGAGAUGAAGCCUCCA